rnacentral:lncRNA from 1 species
UUAUAAUGACAGCUUCACUCCAAAUGUCUCCCUAGAGGUAUAUACUAUCACAUACAGGAAUUCGUCUUCAUCCUUCUCACUUUCAUACACUUCAUAAAUCAGCAUGGAAAUACUCACCAAGCUGUCUCUGCUCACCACUAGGAAGAGGGCUUGAUUACUAUCGAGCUUUAAGGGCCUUCUAAUUAUCUUGACGAGUUUACUCAUGUUGACCUGAUCAGGUACAAAAUUACUUGGUUUUUCCAGGACAGGAAGCUGCUUUUCACGCCUGUGUCAUUCUUUUGUCACUGGGAUUUUGGUAGGAUGCUGCUGUCAGAUAAGUGGGACCCCCACUCUUUGUUCGAAGGAGUGACACUGCUUGAAGGUCUUCUCCAAUCUCAUGCCACGCAAGGCUGGACAAGGGCUAUGGCCAAGCAGAGGGUCCUGUUUAAUUCCUUAAGCAAAUAUUGAUUACAUGCUUAUCAUACACCAGGUACUGUGGUAAGGUUUUGUCCUAUGGGGUCGAAGUUAGAUAUUGAAAUAUAUGUCUAUAAUCACUGUGAUAUGCUGAGGGAAGAAAGAUUCCAAAUGCUAUUGGAGCCUGGAAGAAGGGCAGGUGAGCCAGUGAUCAGGGAAGAUUCCAGAGAAGGUGGGAUUUGACCUGAGACUGAAAGAUGGGUAUGAGUUUACCUGGUGGAUAGGGGAAGGCAUUUUAGAAAGCAUGUGCAAAAUAGAAACAGUAUAUUUGAGGACUCCUAAAUAGAGUAUGAUGGACAGGGGGUAAGAAGAAAGCAGG